rnacentral:rRNA from 1 species
CCUACGGGAGGCAGCAAUUAGGAAUCUUGCGCAAUGGGGGCAACCCUGACGCAGCGACACAGUGUGGAGGAGGAAGGUCUUCGGAUUGUAAACUCCUUUUAUGAGGGAAGAAUAGAUGACGGUACCUCAUGAAUAAGCACCUGCUAACUACGUGCCAGAAGCAUCGGUGAUGCGUAGGGUGCGAACGUUAUCCGGAUUUAUUGGGCGUAUAGAGAAGCGUAGGUGUUUUUGUAAGUCUUUAGUUAAAUACCACGGCUCAACCGUGGAGAAGCGUUGGAAACUACAGAAAUUGAGACAGGAAGGGGCGAAUGGAAUUCCCAGUGGAGCGGUGAAAUGCGUUGAUAUUGGGAGGAACAUCAGUGGCGAAGGCGAUUCGCUGGUCCUUGUCUGACACUAAGGCUCGAAAGCGUGGGGAGCAAACA